UCUUAACUCACAUCACUUCAGUGUUUUCAUUGUUUCCAUUAUAAUCAAUAAUCAUUAACUGAUUAUUGAUUAUAAUGAAAACAAGAAAACACUGAAGUGAUGUGAGUUAAGG
rnacentral:miRNA from 1 species